rnacentral:misc_RNA from 1 species
GUAACAAGGUCUCCGUAGGUGAACCUGCGGAGGGAUCAUUACAAGAACGCCCGGGCUUCGGCCUGGUUAUUCAUAACCCUUUGUUGUCCGACUCUGUUGCCUCCGGGGCGACCCUGCCUUCGGGCGGGGGCUCCGGGUGGACACUUCAAACUCUUGCGUAACUUUGCAGUCUGAGUAAACUUAAUUAAUAAAUUAAAACUUUUAACAACGGAUCUCUUGGUUCUGGCAUCGAUGAAGAACGCAGCGAAAUGCGAUAAGUAAUGUGAAUUGCAGAAUUCAGUGAAUCAUCGAAUCUUUGAACGCACAUUGCGCCCCCUGGUAUUCCGGGGGGCAUGCCUGUUCGAGCGUCAUUUCACCACUCAAGCCUCGCUUGGUAUUGGGCAACGCGGUCCGCCGCGUGCCUCAAAUCGUCCGGCUGGGUCUUCUGUCCCCUAAGCGUUGUGGAAACUAUUCGCUAAAGGGUGUUCGGGAGGCUACGCCGUAAAACAACCCCAUUUCUAAGGUUGACCUCGGAUCAGGUAGGGAUACCCGCUGAACUUAAGCAUAUC